ensembl:lncRNA
CAUUGUUGCAGCAUGCCAGGGGCUGUUCACCUUGGAGACCUGCUGCGGAUAUGGAUAUGGGUACAGCCCUAGGAGCAGAUUUACACCCUCUCCCCUGGAUUUUCGAGGAGCCAGUGAGAGCGUACCCGAGGCCGCCGGAACCUUGAUGCAGAGUAAACCAGAGAGGCAUUGUCCCGCCACCGUGAGCAUCCUCAGACUCCUAAGCCAGCUUUUAUGGUCUGGCUAAAAGUUUGCUCUUGUGGUGCUGAUCGUCUGGUGGAAGAACCGGGUACUAACCAAGUCACCUACAUGAAUGUAUAGAGGCCAGCUGGGGAAAGUGCUCUGAAGGAAAGGAACACUAUUGCAUGGUACUGUUGAAGCGAGGAGGCUGACCGAGAUUCAGGGGCAGUCAUGGUUGCUUAGGGCAGGGACCCUGCCUGGAGCUGAGUUAUGAAGGAUGAGGUGGGAUUAGUUAGAUGAAGGCGUGGGAGGAGCUGAGACGAAUGUUCAGACCAGAGAGCAGAGACUUCAAAGACUCUGGGACGGGAGCGAGAAGGGAGACUGAGACGCAG